AUUGAACGCUGGCGGCAUGCUUUACACAUGCAAGUCGAACGGCAGCACGGACUUCGGUCUGGUGGCGAGUGGCGAACGGGUGAGUAAUACAUCGGAACGUGCCCAGUUGUGGGGGAUAACUACUCGAAAGAGUAGCUAAUACCGCAUGAGAACUGAGGUUGAAAGCAGGGGAUCGUAAGACCUUGCGCAACUGGAGCGGCCGAUGGCAGAUUAGGUAGUUGGUGGGAUAAAAGCUUACCAAGCCGACGAUCUGUAGCUGGUCUGAGAGGACGACCAGCCGCACUGGGACUGAGACACGGCGCAGACUCCUACGUGAGGCAGCAGUGGGGAAUUUUGGACAAUGGGCGAAAGCCUGAUCCAGCAAUGCCGCGUGCAGGAUGAAGGCCUUCGGGUUGUAAACUGCUUUUGUACGGGACGAAAAGCUUUGGGCUAAUACCCUGGAGUCAUGACGGUACCGUAAGAAUAAGCACCGGCUAACUACGUGCCAGCAGCCGCGGUAACAC
rnacentral:rRNA from 1 species